rnacentral:rRNA from 1 species
UACGUAGGGUGCGAGCGUUAAUCGGAAUUACUGGGCGUAAAGCGUGCGCAGGCGGUUUUAUAAGACAGGUGUGAAAUCCCCGGGCUCAACCUGGGAAUGGCAUUUGUGACUGUAAGACUAGAGUACGGUAGAGGGGGAUGGAAUUCCGCGUGUAGCAGUGAAAUGCGUAGAUAUGCGGAGGAACACCGAUGGCGAAGGCAAUCCUCUGGAUUUGUACUGACGCUCAUGCACGAAAGCGUGGGGAGCAAACAGG